GACUUGCUAGCUCAGCUGGUAGAGCACAUCCCUUUUAAGGAUGGGGUCCAGGGUUCGAACCCCUGGCAAGUCA
rnacentral:tRNA from 2 species